AGAGUUUGAUCAUGGCUCAGAUUGAACGCUGGCGGCAGGCCUAACACAUGCAAGUCGAGCGGUAACACAGAGAGCUUGCUCUCGGGUGACGAGCGGCGGACGGGUGAGUAAUGUCUGGGAAACUGCCUGAUGGAGGGGGAUAACUACUGGAAACGGUAGCUAAUACCGCAUAACGUCGCAAGACCAAAGUGGGGGACCUUCGGGCCUCAUGCCAUCAGAUGUGCCCAGAUGGGAUUAGCUAGUAGGUGGGGUAACGGCUCACCUAGGCGACGAUCCCUAGCUGGUCUGAGAGGAUGACCAGCCACACUGGAACUGAGACACGGUCCAGACUCCUACGGGAGGCAGCAGUGGGGAAUAUUGCACAAUGGGCGCAAGCCUGAUGCAGCCAUGCCGCGUGUGUGAAGAAGGCCUUCGGGUUGUAAAGCACUUUCAGCGGGGAGGAAGGCGGUGAGGUUAAUAACCUCAUCGAUUGACGUUACCCGCAGAAGAAGCACCGGCUAACUCCGUGCCAGCAGCCGCGGUAAUACGGAGGGUGCAAGCGUUAAUCGGAAUUACUGGGCGUAAAGCGCACGCAGGCGGUCUGUCAAGUCGGAUGUGAAAUCCCCGGGCUCAACCUGGGAACUGCAUUCGAAACUGGCAGGCUAGAGUCUUGUAGAGGGGGGUAGAAUUCCAGGUGUAGCGGUGAAAUGCGUAGAGAUCUGGAGGAAUACCGGUGGCGAAGGCGGCCCCCUGGACAAAGACUGACGCUCAGGUGCGAAAGCGUGGGGAGCAAACAGGAUUAGAUACCCUGGUAGUCCACGCCGUAAACGAUGUCGAUUUGGAGGUUGUGCCCUUGAGGCGUGGCUUCCGGAGCUAACGCGUUAAAUCGACCGCCUGGGGAGUACGGCCGCAAGGUUAAAACUCAAAUGAAUUGACGGGGGCCCGCACAAGCGGUGGAGCAUGUGGUUUAAUUCGAUGCAACGCGAAGAACCUUACCUGGUCUUGACAUCCACAGAACUUUCCAGAGAUGGAUUGGUGCCUUCGGGAACUGUGAGACAGGUGCUGCAUGGCUGUCGUCAGCUCGUGUUGUGAAAUGUUGGGUUAAGUCCCGCAACGAGCGCAACCCUUAUCCUUUGUUGCCAGCGGUUAGGCCGGGAACUCAAAGGAGACUGCCAGUGAUAAACUGGAGGAAGGUGGGGAUGACGUCAAGUCAUCAUGGCCCUUACGACCAGGGCUACACACGUGCUACAAUGGCAUAUACAAAGAGAAGCGACCUCGCGAGAGCAAGCGGACCUCAUAAAGUAUGUCGUAGUCCGGAUUGGAGUCUGCAACUCGACUCCAUGAAGUCGGAAUCGCUAGUAAUCGUAGAUCAGAAUGCUACGGUGAAUACGUUCCCGGGCCUUGUACACACCGCCCGUCACACCAUGGGAGUGGGUUGCAAAAGAAGUAGGUAGCUUAACCUUCGGGAGGGCGCUUACCACUUUGUGAUUCAUGACUGGGGUGAAGUCGUAACAAGGUAACCGUAGGGGAACCUGCGGUUGGAUCACCU
rnacentral:rRNA from 1 species